rnacentral:rRNA from 1 species
UACGAACCGUACAAACGUUAUUCGGAAUCACUGGGCUUAAAGGGUGCGUAGGCGGCCAUGUAAGUGAGGUGUGAAAUCCCUCGGCUCAACCGAGGAACUGCGCUUCAUACUGCAUGGCUUGAGGGAGACAGGGGUAAGCGGAACUGAUGGUGGAGCGGUGAAAUGCGUUGAUAUCAUCAGGAACACCGGUGGCGAAAGCGG